GACAAUGGGGUGUCCCCAAGGGCCACCACGGUGACCAUGAGAUGUUCUCAAGGGCCAGGUGGUGGCAAUGGCGCAGUGUCCCCAAAAAGCCACCGUGGUGACCAUGGGGUGUCCAUAAAGAACCAUUUUGGUGACAAUUGGAUGGCCCUGAAGGUCAUCGUGGUGGCAAUGGGACAAUGUCCCCAAAAAGCCACCACGGUGACAAUUGGAUGGACACAAAAAGAACCAUUUUGGUGACAAUGGGACAAUGUCCCCAAGGGUCACCACAGUGACAAUGGGGUGUCCCCAAGGGCCACCACAGUGACCAUGAGAUGUUCUCAAGGACCAAACGGUGGCAAUGGGACGAUGUCCCCAAAAAGCCACCGCGGUGACCAUGGGGUGUCCUCGAGGUGACAGCGGGGUGGCCCUGAGGGUCAUCGUGGUGACAAUGGGACGAUGUCCCCAAAAAGCCACCACGGUGACAAUGGGGUGUCCAUAAAGAACCAUUUUGGUGACAAUGGGAUGUCCCCAAGAGCCACCACGGUGACAAUGGGGUGUCCCCAAGGGCCACCAUGGUGACCAUGAGAUGUUCUCAAGGGCCAAGUGGUGACAAUGGGACGAUGUCCCCAAAAAGCCACCGCGGUGACAAUGGGGUGUCCAUAAAGAACCAUCAUGGUGACAAUUGGAUGGCCGUGAAGGUCAUCGUGGUGGCAAUGGGACGGUGUCCCCAAAGAGCCACCACGGUGACACUGGGGUGUCCAUAAAGAGCCACCACGGUGACAAUGGGGUGUCCAUAAAGAGCCAUUUUGGUGACAAUGAGGUGUCCCCAAGGGCCACCACGGUGACCAUGAGAUGUCCCCAAAAAAGCCACUGCGGUGACAAUUGGAUGGCCGUGAAGGUCAUCGUGGUGACAAUGGGACAAUGUCCCCAAAAAGCCACCACAGUGACAAUGGGGUGUCCAUAAAGAACCAUUUUGGUGACAAUGGGGUGUCCCCAAGGGCCACCACGGUGACCAUGAGAUGUCCCCAAAAAGCCACCUUGGUGACAAUUGGAUGGCCGUGAAGGUCAUUGUGGUGACAAUGGGAUGAUGUCCCCAAAAAGCCACCACGGUGGUGACAACGCCAAUGGGAUGUCCCCAAGAACCCGCCGUGGUGACACCGUGUGCCACCAGAAGAUCACCGAGAUGUCCCCAAGGGGCCACCACGGUGACAUUGGGGUGGUGUCCCCAAAAGCCACCAUGAUGGUGACACCGGGAUGACCUCAGGGCCACCAUGGGGGUGACACCGGGAUGUCCCCAAGGGCCACCAUGGGGGCUGUCCCAGAGUCGCCCAAUUAAAGGAUUUCACCCCAAA